rnacentral:rRNA from 1 species
GAUUAACGCUGGCGGCGUGCCUAACACAUGCAAGUCGAGCGGCAGCGAGUUUUACACUGAAUUCUGGAAGCUUCUAGUUGAAAGAAAAGAUUUAUUCAAGAAUUUUGUGUAAAAUGUCGGCGAGCGGCGGACGGCUGAGUAACGCGUGGGAACGUACCCCAAAGUGAGGGAUAACGCAUCGAAAGGUGUGCUAAUACCGCAUAUGGUCUUCGGAUUAAAGCCUUCGGGCGCUUUGGGAACGGCCUGCGUAAGAUUAGAUAGUUGGUGGGGUAAUGGCCUACCAAGUCGACGAUCUUUAACUGGUUUGAGAGGAUGAUCAGUCAGACUGGAACUGAGACACGGUCCAGACUCCUACGGGAGGCAGCAGUGAGGAAUCUUCCACAAUGGGCGAAAGCCUGAUGGAGCAACGCCGCGUGCAGGAUGAAGGCCUUCGGGUUGUAAACUGCUUUUAUAAGUGAGGAUUAUGACAGUAACUUAUGAAUAAGGAUCGGCUAACUACGUG